AUGAAUCACAGCAAGACCCUGGAUCCUAUAAAAAUUGAAGUACAUAUCUCGAUAAAAUUUUUGAUCAUAAAUAGUCUCACUUUGAGGCUAUUCUGAGGAGACAGGGAAUGAGCUACACAAGAGUUGUGUAAAUUAAGUUCAGCAUUUAAUGAACUUGCAAAGCACUUUGCUAGUUCCUCUCUGCUUAGGAAGGGCACCGUGGAAGAGCCUGGGAAUGAAGCUCAGAGCUGAGGUGCACUAGGAAGAAAAACAGCAAACAAAGUGCUGUAUAUCUACUACCAGUCUAAAGAAAGACUGCACAAGCCAGUAUGCCAAGUGAGCAGACAGAUGCCUCAAAAGAAAUGGUAUCAUGGCAUCCAUGCAAAUGGCACAAGGACCUGAGAAGAGAGGGGAGCAUGAAAGAACAAAGCUUGCAGAAAAGCCUCCUAUCUGUACUGUACAGGUGAGUUCCUCAGCCAACAAGCAGGACAAUCAGCAGGUCACACAAGGCUGCAGAUGCUGAAGACUUACUGGAACAGCCUAUGUAAAAACAGCUGGGCUUUGUUUUUCAAAUAGCAGUGAACAAUCAUGUCGCUGUUCUUCCAAACAAAGCAAAACAUCUACUUGGAAUGUGUUUGGCUGCUCUGCUCCACACCAAGAUGCUUCUGGAAAUGCUGUCCUUGGGAUAACAAGGAGGUUCUGCACAGUCCCAUUUCUUGUUCAUCCAGUUUCCCACUGAAUCUGAACCCUGAUUCGUGGGUGAUGGUGUUCCCUCAGCUCUUCUGCUCAUUACUGCUUCAUUCCGAGGGCAGCCUGACUCACAGAUGUCCUUACACCAAACCAGCUCCUACUUGCUUCGGUCUGCCAGAGAAGACUAGAAGCUCUGAUCAGGAGAACAGCAGAACCUGUUGGUCUGAACAGCAGAACAACUUUGGCUGGGGCAUUCAGUACUCAUUUGAGAAGGAAGGAAGCAAGCCCAGCAGAUUUAGUGCCUCUAAUGAGGGACAGAGAGCCAGGCAAAGCAAUACAAAUCCAACCUAGUCCUUAGGUGUUUGUUUUUCAGCUGCACAGGGACUGCAGCCCUAAAGUGCCAUGGAAGGUGUUCUCAGAUUCUUUCUUUGCAUGCAGACUGAAGAGUGCCUUGUGAGGUGUGAAGAAAGCCAAAACCUGUAUAUGUAACUUAGAGGUGAUUUGACAUUUCAAGGCUGUAGCAGACAGUCGCAGUUUGUCACCUCAGCAUUCCCAUGGGGGUUGUGCACAGGGAUGGAAAUCAACACAAGUGAAUAGAAACUCUUCUCGAAUGUGUAAUGCAAGACCGAACAUCACUCUCUAAACUUGAGGUUUUCCUAUUAAAAAAGAAUCCAUUUCAAAC
rnacentral:lncRNA from 7 species